rnacentral:tRNA from 1 species
ACCUGGAUGGCUCAGUGGGUAGAGCAUGAGACUCUUGAUCUCAGGGUCAUGAGUUCAAGCACCAUGUUGGGUG